UAGGGAAUCUUCCGCAAUGGACGCAAGUCUGACGGAGCAACGCCGCGUGAGUGAAGAAGGAUUUCGGUUCGUAAAACUCUGUUGUUAGAGAAGAACAGCGCAUAGAGUAACUGUUAUGCGUGUGACGGUAUCUAACCAGAAAGCCACGGCUAACUACGUGCCAGCAGCCGCGGUAAUACGUAGGUGGCAAGCGUUGUCCGGAUUUAUUGGGCGUAAAGCGAGCGCAGGCGGUCAAUUAAGUCUGAUGUGAAAGCCCCCGGCUCAACCGGGGAGGGUCAUUGGAAACUGGUUGACUUGAGUGAGGAAGAGGAGAGUGGAAUUCCGUGUGUAGCGGUGAAAUGCGUAGAUAUAUGGAGGAACACCAGUGGCGAAGGCGACUCUCUGGUCUGUAACUGACGCUGAGGUUCGAAAGCGUGGGUAGCAAACAGG
rnacentral:rRNA from 1 species